rnacentral:lncRNA from 1 species
CGGGCGGUUCCGGGGGCGGCGGCGCGGGAGUUUGUUCGGGGUGGACAAAGGCGCGCUGCCGGGUUUCGUUCGUUUCUCCCUGAACCAUUGUUAUGGAAAGCAAGUGCGGGCGAGCUUUUGUGCGGGAGACAAUAGGGGAGUGAUCGCACUUGAGUUAAUGCUGCGAAACUGAACUUCAAGAACACUUUUUUUUUUUUUUUCCCUCUGUGAGAAAUGGGGAAGUGAGUUCAAGCAGCGUGAGUGGAAAGCUGAGAAUAUUGCAAUUACACAGAAUUACCUGGGAAGCCGCUUUUAAAUGUAAGCCUGCGAGAGGGCUGCGUGUCCCGGUGCCCCUGCUGUGUCCCGGCUAGGAGUCCAGGGAAGCCUCUGGUGCGGGAACUGGAAGGUGCCGAAGCCCAGAAGGGCGGCAGCGGCCUUGAAAUACUCGUGAAAGGUGAUACUGAGGGGUCACCUGUGGCUGAAGAGGAACACGAAAGGGGAAGCGACCUGUGCAGAGAAGUUUUCUUUGCAUCUGGUGUUAUGAAAGAGGACGAGGGAGCGUUACUGGCUUUGCAGCGGUUCUCCAUGAGUGGUAAAGAUCAGCUUGAAUAAGUGCCUCAAAAUAGUUGGUGGAUGGAGGAGAUGAAUGCAAGGAGGCAGUCUGCUGUCGUUGCCGUUUGCCGAUACCAGAGCAGGCCUGAUACGGAUUACUUACUUUCCCAAAAACUAAUUAUAUGCACAAAAAGCUGUUACAGAAACCUAACUGUAACAUUAGGGUUGAUAUUCCAACUUUUUUAAUAAAAGCUAUUUAGAAAUAUGAAGCA